UGUGUAGGCGGGCGGGCAAGUCGGACGUGAAAACUCUAGGCUUAACCUGGAGCCUGCGUCUGAAACUACCUGUCUUGAGUACGGGAGAGGAAAGUGGAAUUCCUGGUGUAGCGGUGAAAUGCGUAGAUAUCAGGAGGAACACCGGUGGCGAAGGCGGCUUUCUAGCCCGAUACUGACGCUGAGACACGAAGGCUAGGGGAGCAAACAGGAUUAGAUACCCUGGUAGUCCUAGCGGUAAACGUUGGGCACUAGGUGUUGUCCCUUAACCGGGGCAGUGCCGAAGCUAACGCAUUAAGUGCCCCGCCUGGGGAGUACGACCGCAAGGUUGAA
rnacentral:rRNA from 1 species